GUUUGUUGGCUGUGCUGUGAAAAAGGUGUCAGUGCUGUGAGGAGAUGCCCAUGAGAAAUCACUGGGAAGUAGGAAUAUAAAGUUUGCAAGUCAGCCACAAUAAGAUACGUUGCAUGUCCUAGGACAGUGGAGAAGAUGGGAUUCCUCCUGCCUGGGUAGAUAUUCAGUGAUUCUGGAUCUCUCCAUCAGCAAAUCCUUUCUCCGGGACCGUAAUCCAAACCCCAUAUAAAGUGCCAAAUCAAACUCUUCCUGUAUCUCCUGGCAGCCACAGCCUCGUGAUCCCCGUCAUCACUCAGCAUAUUUGUCACUCAGCUUAGACAUCAGACACUUGGAGGUAAGCAUUGGUGCCAAAAUCUCAAGAAGCUGGUAACAAAUGUGAAUUCAGAGAUCAAACGCUCAGUGGGACCAAAUUCCUCUGUAAGAGCUCUGUGCCUUGGCAGAUACCAUCUCUUGUUUACUGUCUUUCAAAGAAUGGAGUUAUUUAAUAAUGAGCAAAAUGCAGGACAUAUGCAGGCUUGCAGACUCAUCAAUAAGAGACUCAUUCUCUUGAUACCUCAUGGGACUGUUAUUGUGCCUCUCAUGCAGAGUGACUAAGCAAAGUGCAUGCUCUUUAGACUAUGGUGAUUCCCACUAUAAAGAGCAGGUAUGAGCAUUCCCCACAAAUUAAAUGAUGGAGACAGCAGCUGAAGUCCUGAAGGUAACAUUACUGAGUUUCUUAUCAGGACUCAAUAAAACACAGCAGAAGAUAGUCUCUAGGGAAUUCUAAUACAAUCUUCACCCCAAAAAAUUAUGUUGGUUUGGAGUUUAAUCAGUAUCUUGGAAAUUACAUGCAAAUUUACAAACUACUAAAUUCAUAAUUAGUGUAAGUGUUAUGAAACUAUUUCUGUCCCUUGUAAACUGAAAAACAAGUGAUGACUUACAAAGAAUGCAAUCAGUGUACCAGCAGAUGUAGGGAUACUUCUGAUUGUGCCUGCCCAUGUUCCAAAAAGGGCUUUUAUCUUUACGUGAUAAAAAUCUUAAAUGGCAGUAACGCCUCAGGCUCAGGGACAGUACGGUGUCAAUCACGAGAUGAGGUUAGAGAGAAAUUGCUUACAGAAGCAUUGUGAUGAACAGAUUUAUUCUCCAGUAGGGCCUUUGGAAUAUAUAUCACAGAAAUUAUUGGUCUACAUAGUCAGUUCAAGCCUUCCAACACAGUACUUACAUAGUCCUUUAAACUGCCUGGGACACAGAGUAACCUGACCACAGCAACACAUAGCAACCACUGUGGUCACCAAUAAAGCAAACACAAAGAAAACAAAUAAGUUUUUUAAAAAGUUAUCAUUGCAUAGGGACUGGAUUGAUACAGUGGCAUUCCUUCAAUGCACUGUCCAUAUGGAGUAUUUUACCUGUGAUUCCUGAGCAUUUCAGUGUACCAAUCUUCUAAAAGGAGACAAAACUGCCUCCCCCCUCUCCAAUAUGUAGAUACUCUCAAAGAUCAAAUUCAUUUAAAAAGCAGCCCAUAAUUAAAAUUUUUAAAAGUUAGAUUUUGUAUUAUUAAAGCAUAAUGGGGUCCCCUAGGUUCCAAUUAGGAAGCUGAUUAAAAAAUCUUCGAGCUUAAGAAGCUGCAGGUAGGGAGUUCUGCUCUCAGCUGCCUUGAAUUAGCAUAUUGAUGGCACCUCAGCCCUGGCUGGAAGGAAAGGCAGAGACCCUGCAGACAUUUUGUCAGGCCAGCACAGUGCUUUGUGAGCACUCCUGCCUCAGUCCAAGGAAAAAAUUACUUACACAGCCAGGCCUGACCAGCAACAAAAAAGUUAUAGCAAGAGAAAUGUACUGGGCAAAGUAUUUGCUGGUAGUGGUACUUCAGGGAAAAGGGACUGUGAUUGGAGCAACAUGAAAAAGAACAAAUUCUAACCCAAAACAAAACCUAUGAGGUUUAUGGCUUGGAUUUGAAAGGACAUUACUCUAUGACCUUGAUCCAUAACAGAGCUGCAGCUUCAGUUUCAGCAUACAGCAAAGUUCUGGCACAAACCCAGAAAUUUGUUUUAGAAAGGCCCUUGAAAUCUGGGUUAACUUUCAUCCUCUUGAAAAUUUAAGACAAUUAGACACACUUGUUUCAAACUGAAACUAACAAAAAGUGAGUUUAGCAGGAUAUUUAAUUUUUCAUUCUGAGCUCUUAAACAUUAAGCUGAUGCUGGUAGAGUGCUUAUACACAGUUUCAUCCUAGAAGUCAAUUCCCAGAGCACUCAGGCACUUACUGAACCCUACAGAGCUUUGUGAGCACUGUGAAUCCCACCUCUGGGAGCAGGGGACAUUUCCUACCACAGGUGCCCAGCCUGCUGCUGUACCUGCCCCUUCCUGAUCUAACCAAGGCUCUUCAAGCAGAAGCAAAGGAGAAACCCGCAAGGCACUGUAGUAGCAGCUAUUAGGGAAAUUGCUUAAACAAGGUGCUCAGGAGACACAGUACAAAGUUCAGUCUUGGUGAGAGAAUGGAAUGGAAAGCACAGGGAAGGAAGGUCUGAAGUCUGUCAGAAGAGCACAGAACUGAUAAACUGGUGAAACUUAUCAAAGCUUACAUGCCGAUGACUAUUACAUGAGAAGAGCAUGAAAGUGACUCAUGCUUUGGUGGAAAUGGGGUUUUUUAUGUUAAGAAUAUCACUUUUGCUUCAGGCAGUUCAUUUGGCAGGAGACACUGGAGGGUUUGCACAUCAUCAAGGAUUACUCUGGUGGAUAAGGUUUAAGCAAUUACAAAACUGUUCCAAGAUUUCUGAUGACUGAGGUGAAGGGAA